ACUCCAGACUCCUACGGGAGGCAGCAGUGGGGAAUAUUGCACAAUGGGGGAAACCCUGAUGCAGCGACGCCGCGUGAGCGAUGAAGUAUUUCGGUAUGUAAAGCUUUAUCAGCAGGGAAGAAAAUGACGGUACCUGACUAAGAAGCCCCGGCUAACUACGUGCCAGCAGCCGCGGUAAUACGUAGGGGGCAAGCGUUAUCCGGAUUUACUGGGUGUAAAGGGAGCGUAGACGGCUGUGCAAGCCAGAUGUGAAAGCCCGGGGCUCAACCCCGGGACUGCAUUUGGAACUGUGUGGCUGGAGUGUCGGAGAGGCAGGCGGAAUUCCUAGUGUAGCGGUGAAAUGCGUAGAUAUUAGGAGGAACACCAGUGGCGAAGGCGGCUUACUGGACUGUAACUGACGUUGAGGCUCGAAAGCGUGGGGAGCAAACAGGAUUAGAUACCCCAGUA
rnacentral:rRNA from 1 species